rnacentral:ncRNA from 1 species
UGACCGUGGAUCAGUCGUGAUCACGCAAUGAACCUAAGCAUAUCACAAAACGGACGAAAAGAAACUUACCAGGAUUUCCCUUGUUACGGCGAGUGAAGAGGUAAUAGCCCAGCAGCGAAGCCUGUGGUAGGUUGACUGCUGGGCAAUGUGGUGUUAAGCUUGAUUCGUGUGAUUGCCACUUCACUCGAAGUCUAGCACUUAGUAUUGUUCCCUGGAUUUCGACCAGAGAGGAUGAAAGUCCCGCGCGAGUAUAGGUUCAGACAUGUGAGGCAAUUCAACAGGUUGACCUUCGACUCGGGUUACUUGGGAAUGCAACCCAAAGUGGGUGGUCGUUGGUGGUGGUUCGGUCGGUGUCUCCCCUGGGGUCGUUGGCUGAGCUUCGAUCAUCACAGUGAGCGGCUUGUGUAGGCAUUCGCAUGCACACGUGUUAUCGAGCACUGUUCGUCAACAAGUCUGUCUCUCGGUUGUGUUUUUGCAGUCACCGGCAUAUGUCCUGGUUGGCUGCGGUGGUAGGAAUAACUGCGAAGGGCACCAGGGUUGUCGGAUUCUAGUUUCUGGCUCGUGCGAACACUUCAUGUGGGCGUGGGUGUUUCUGCGGGCUGCCAAUUGUUGUGCCUGAUCGUCAUGUUGCCUGAGAAGAGUGGAUCUGACGGUGGUCUAUCAUGCACGCGUGUAAAUGGAUCCCACGAUACCCAAAUGUGCAGUGAAAUUUAAGUCUCGACUUGUUCUCGGCAUUUAGUAAGAUGCCACUGUUUCUCGUACAUCGCCUUGCGCGUACAGCACCAGGCAUAAAAUCAGUGGUCAAAUCACCGGCCCGUCCCACGAUGUGAUCGUUGGAAAGGUGUGGAUCGUACUGCAGUCUGCAGUGUUAGCCAGCGCGUCAUCGGGUUGGAGCAGGAGCAUGCAUUGUAAGACCCAACAGAUGGUGAACUAUGCUUGCGAAUCUGUAAGGCAGAGGAAAAUCUGGUGGAGGACUGCAGCGGUUCUGACGUGCUUAUAUAUCUCAAAACAUGAGUAUAGGGGUUAAAAACCAAUUGAACCAUCUAGUAGCUGGUUCCCUCUGAAGUUUCCCUCAGGAUAGCUGGCACGCAUUCGUAAGAUCAGUUUUAUCCGGUAAAGCGAAUGAUUUAAGCUACUGGGUUCGAUAGGAGCUCAACUUGUUCUCACAUUAUAAAUGGGUGAUAUGCCCAAGUCGCUUUAUAGGAGUCGUGCGCGGAAUGUGUGAAUGCCAAGUGGACCAUUUUGAUAAGCAGAACUGAUGCUGUGGGAUGAAAAACUCCCGGUUAAGGUGCCUUACGUUGACACUCAUAUGAUUCCACAAAAGCUGUUUGUUAAUAUAGACAGCAAGACGUUGGCCAUGGAAGUUGGCAUCCGUUAAGGAGUGUGUAACAACUCACUUGCCGAAAUGACCAGCCCUGAAAAUGGAUGACCCUGGAGCGUUUGACCUAUACCGGGCCAGCCCCGCAAACUUGAUCGCUGGUUUUGUUGUUUGGUACGAGAACCAAAUGGCCAGUUGCGUAAACAACAGUCAGUCGCUGUCUUGCGUAAUCCUGAUCCAGGUAAGGAGGCGGUGGUGAGUAGGAGGUUUGUCAUGGUGAGCGUUGAUGCUUGGACGUGAGUCUGGGUGGAGCCACUAUGGGUGUAGAUCUUGGUGGUAGUAGCAAAUAUAUAAGUGAGAACCUUAAAGGCCGAGAUGGAGAAGGGUUCCAUGGGAACAACAGUUGGACAUGUGAAAGGCGGUCCUAAACGAUCCGACGUCUCGGUACAGAGACGUGGGGAGCCUUGCAUACUUCAGUUUGUGUUUGUGCGCGUGCAGACCGCAGCCCACCGGAGUGAACGGGGAUUGGGUAAAUAUUCCCGACCCUGCCCAAGGAGAUAGGCAAAGGUUUGGCUGGGCCAUCUGUGUUCGCUUUUUCGGCGUAUGCAGCUGUGGUCCGUGUCUGGGCGAUGCGAAGCUGGGUAACGCAACCGAACUCAGAGACAUCGACUGGAGUUACGGUAGGAGUUUUCUUUUCUUUGUAAGGAGUACUCACCAACCCUGGCAUCAGGUUUUCCGGAGGUAGAGCUAUCGCCUCCGUAAAGCACCACCCCUUUUGUGGGGUCCGGAACACUCUGGUCGGUCCUUGAAAUUCCAGGGGCGGCAUCAUGAUUUUCGUGGUAGGCCGUACCCAUAUCCGCAUCAGGUCUCCGAGGUGAACUGCCUCUGCAUAAAGAAUAAUUUAGGUAAGGGAUUUUAGCAUAUUUGAUCCUUAGCCUUGGAAAAAGGAUUGGCUGUGAGGGCCGAGUCAGACACGCUGGGCUAAGAAAGGUGUAUGCUCGGACUGCGGCUGGCUAGUCGGCUAGCUGGACUGUGGCUGUAACUGCUGCUGCUGGGUUUACGCCACUGCUUCUGUUGUGUGCGCGUGUGUCUGCUGCGUUAUCUGUGUGCAUUGGCGUGCCCCCUAAACGGGCCACGUGCUAGAUGCGUUAAACCAACACGGGAGCCACAUCAGGGCACGGAUGCGUUAUUCUGGUUGUGCUCCGCUUACAAAUGCUUAAAAGGGGAGGUGUGGUGGCACGCCUAGGGGCGGCUAGGACUUAGGGGACCCGGUCGAAGCAGCCACCUGCGUCCUCUCCCACUUCCGGUCUUCUUCACUCUGUAUUGACACCAUGCUAAGGUGGGGGAGGAGGAGAGUGUGCGGUCGCUGCAGCGCAAGGCUACCAUCACUUCAAACUAAUUCACGCGCAAGUUACCGUCAGUGCUCCACAAUUCCAUGGAGCAUACGGUAGACACCGUUGGAUUACGACGGUUAAACUGUUUUCGUGUGAAGUGGUCGGGCAACGGGCCGCAAAGCACUGUGCGUUCAUGCACCUGGUUAAGGUGGUUGACACUGCGGCGUGGUGUGACCUUGACCGGUGGGCUAACUGGUUUGAAGUGGGCAGAGUAGAUCGUGGGCAGGUCCAGUUAUGCCUGUCCCUUGUUUUGCGCUGGUUGUUGCAGUUGCUGUUGUCGCGGUUUCGGCCGCAAUGGUGGUGCCGGUGGCGACGGUUGUGUUGCCUUGGGGCACUUGGCUGACGUCAACCAGCCCACUCAGAAUUCGCACGUACUCGAAGAAACUGACUGUCUAACUAAAACAAAUAAUUGCGAUGUAUAAUGAGCGGUUGUGAUUCAAUGUGAUUAUUGCCCAGUAUUCUGAAUGUCAAAGUGAAAACUUUCAACCAAGCGCGGGUAAACAGUGGCAGUAACUAUGACUGUCUUAAGGAGUAGAGUCUGAGACCCUCAUUCCUGGGCCGAGGGUGCUAUCCCGUUUGCGUCGUUGGUACGCAUAGCCUUCUCGUGGCACUCCCGGUAACGGGAAGGGGUCACUCUGUUGACCUCAAUGGCUCAGGCUCACCAGUUCGAAUAUGCAGCCUCACUAGUCUGCCAGUGGUUAAACUAGCAAAAAUAAUGGAUUCCCAUAAUGAAGCUGUUAAAACCUCACCCCGUCUCUGCGAGAUAAACCGCGACUUAUUGUGUUGUUGUCCACCUUGUGGACGAGUCUGCCGCUCUGCUGCUGGGCUGAAGCCUUAUGUGCGUCAAUA